GUCCUCAGGCGUUCUCCUAGCGCGGGUCCGGCGUCCGCGUAUGGAGGGAUAAAUGAAACGGGAGGUUGGUGGCAAGUUCUGAAAUACUUCGGCGAAGGUCGGAACGGAGGCGCCUAGGCGGCCCGCCGCGCCCUGGCUGCCUUCCCCGGCAGUGGAGAGCCGGGGAAAGCGUUCCGGUGGCCGGGACCCGACGCCUGCCCGGAGCCCACGGGAACAGUGUUUUGUUUCUCGGUGGUUUCUUUGUGCUUAUGUUGUGGGCGAACGCAGGCGGCGGCGCAGAAAGACUGAGGUGGCCUUCAGCAGGGCUGCGAGGGAGAGCCCGGGCCGGUGGCUUGGGCGGGAGGUGCCCGUCAGGCUCGGCGCGAGCUUCAGUGGUCAGCGCGCAUUUCUCAUGAGGGUCACUCGGUGGUGACCUUUUGACUUUUUCACCCCACCCUCCCUUCUCUUUGUCUUGCACUUCUGUUCACAAUCCUUAGGUCAUAGAACCGGGUCUAUUUCAAGGUACCGUGAUGAACACAAAAGUGUUUUAUUUUCAUUUUAAUUUCUGAAAGUUUCCUAUCAUGUGUUUACUGUGGACUUAAUAACAUGUUGACUGCACGUUAUCAGACAAUGUCAAUUGCUUACUAUUUUUACCUCUGAAAUUCAGUGAUCUUUCCCGAAGAAUUCUGGUCUGUCAGUCCAUUGUGUUUUAAGAUAAGCAUCCAGCAAGUACCCCCUUGGUAAUUAGAACAUCUGUUUAUUUCAUUCAUUCAUUCAUUCAUUCAUUCAACAACUGUUCAGUACUCUACCCAGAUGGAGAGUUUGAGGGUAAAGACAAAUAUCCUUUAAUGGAAGAAGAUACUUUGAAUGGAUGUACCUUUAAAUGAGAUUUAAAUGAAAUUAUGUAAGUAAUGUGUGUUAAAGAAGGUAUAGCUAUAUUCUGGGUCAUUUUACUGUUUUGGUAGUACAUCUGGAAUGUUAGGCGUAACCUUAAAUGUAUUAGGAAGUAGAGUUAUAUUUGGUCUAAAUGUACAGCUUUCAUGUAUUUCUUUACAGUCAUGUGUAAUGUUUACUUCAGAAUCCUCUGCUGUGGGUUAAGCCUAGGAGGUUAGAUGCUGUGAGUGAACAUGUUUAGUGCUGUACCUGACAUAACCAAGCAGUCAGAAUGGGACUUCCUUCAGGACAGUUCUGUCUUGGAUCUGUGUCUCCAACACCUAGCCUGGAAUAUAGUAAGUGUUAAAUAAAACUCAGAUCACUGAAAAGCUCUUUACAAUUGAUAAUAUUGAAACUCAAGCCUUAACAAAAAGCAUUUAAUGUUCUUCGUAAAGUUUUGGAAGCCUCAUGCAAACGGGUCACAUCCAGAUGGCUAAAUGAUCAGUUCAUAUAUAUAUUGUCUGUCACAACAGUAAGGGUUUUUGAAUCACUUCAGUAUCAAUUUUUUUUCCUUAUUACUUCUGAACUAUCCUAAACUUAAAUCUUGCUAAAAUAUUUUUUACUCUGUGUGUCUGUGUAUGUGAUAUGUAUAUUUCAGUGAUAUUUCAGUAAGCCUCUAAAAUGAUUAUUUAUCCUUUUGUGAAUAUUACUUGAAAUGUUUCUCGAUACUCCUUUAAGUGAAAAAGUUAGACCAAAAGAAACAAAUGGCAUAAAAGUUUUAUUAGAAAUCCUUAAUAUCUAAUUACAUUUUAUUAAAGUUUGUUAGAAAUGUUUUGGACUAAUAGUAUUAGGCAUAUGGGUCUAAAACUCAAAAUAAUAUUUAUCCACAGUACAUGUCUUUUCUUCUCCCUACUUAAUAUGUUUUAGCACUUAUUUUGGAUAUGAAAGAAUUUGAGGUGAGCUUAAGAGUGCAAAUAAAGAAAUAAAGUGAUACUUUAUUAAGAUAGGGAUGAAAAUCUUGAGAUACUAAACUUUUAUUGCUUUACCUAGUUAAAGUAUGUUAAAUUCCAGUAAGGGUUACUGAUACAAAUCCUCUGGUCAGGCUUUAGGUGACAAACCCAAAGUGUUUUUGCUUUGUUUUCUAAAUUCUGUUGGUUUUAAAGAAUAACAGCUUUUUCAAGAUAUUAUUCACAUGCCAUAAAUUUAUCCUUUUAGAGUGUGCUUCAAUGGUUUUUAAAUGUAUUCACAAAAUUAUGCAUUGAUCACCUCUAAUUCCAGGACAUUUCAUUACCUCCAAGAAGAAACCCCACACCCAUCAGUAGCCACUCCCUGUUCAACUUUACCUUAUUUUUAAAGGAAGAGAUAGCACUGAUUUUGUUUUAGUAAGUGUAUGCAUUAAUGAAUUUGAAAAGGACUCCUUCUAAGUAUCCUGGCAGAGUGGGAAACUUUAUCCUUCAUAUUACUUUAUUUAUUUUUUGUUGUUGUUGUUGUUGUUGUUGUUAUUGUUGCUAUUUCUUGGGCCGCUCCCGCGGCACAUGGAGGUUCCCAGGCUAGGGGUCGAAUCGGAGCUGUAGCCACCGGCCUAUGCCAGAGGCACAGCAACUCGGGAUCCGAGCCGCGUCUGCAACCUACACCACAACUCACGGCAACGCCGGAUCGUUAACCCACUGAGCAAGGGCAGGGAUCGAACCCGAAACCUCAUGGUUCCUAGUCGGAUUCGUUAACCACUGCGCCACGACGGGAACUCCCCUUCAUAUUACUUUAAAUCCUGUGAGAAAGGCCACUUGAAAGGGAAAUUCGUUUAAGAACAAAUUUACCAAAAUUAAUGAAAUUAGGUACUUAAAUUUUGUUAUUUAUUAAUUUAGUUAGUUAUUUCUGUGCCCAUGCCAUGUGGAAGUUCCUCGGCCAGUGACUGAACCCAAGCCACAGCUGUAACCAGAGCCACAAGCAGUGGCAAUGCUGGAUCCUUAAUCCACUGAGCCACCAAGGAGCUCCUAAUCUUUAAAUUUUUGUUUGCUGAGUGCCUAAUAUUGUGGAAAUAACCUGUGUUUAUACUCAGUGCUCACCAAAACUACUUGAAGUAAUUUAUUAAGUGACUAGUCACAAACUAUCCUAGUGCCAAUUAAGAGGUUGUUGAAUAGAAGCCUGAUUCUUAAUGUCUUGCUUUGUCAUUGAGUUGAGUUUUGAGACAUAUUUGUGUCAUUUAAAUAGUUGAGAUGCUUUGUUGCAUAUGUAUAUAAAACAAUGUCUGAUUUUAAGAUGCCAGCUCUCUAGAGGUCUCUGAUCAAGUCAGUAGUAUGGAUGGUAGUCUCUCUGAUUCAUGUAGAGCAGGGAAGUCAUCAAAGCCAUAUAGCUUUAGAUGUAAAUCAUUUCUCUCUCUGAGCUGUGAUGCUUAUUGUCUUAGUCAUGAGCUCUUUCCAUGAACAUUUAGUAGCUUUUUCUUCUUGCUUUAAGGCAGAUUAUUUGAACUUUGAUUUCAGAAAUGAGUCAACAAACUUUACUACGUAACAGGUGACAGGAGUAUUAAAAUAAGCUGUUCUAUCAUUCAGGGUCAUAGGUGGAAGUAGACCUGUCUAGGAAUCAGACCUAGGUUCAUUUUUUAGUUCUGUCAUCUGGACCUUGUCAUCAGCAAGUUAUAGAGGUGUAGGCAGGCAGCGUACCUUUUUGGUUAGAACUAUAAACUGACACUGUUGGAAUUUUUCUUCUUUUUAAAUAGAAAAGUUGUUCCCCAGAUAGAUGGUUCUUCAGAAAACAUACUAGGACAAAAGGAGUCCUUCUUGGGUGAUAUCAGAAUCCCACAUCAAGAAUAGCAGUGAAAGUUAGAUUUUUGUAAUCUACAGAAGCAGAGAAAAUUGUUGCAUCAGAUAUUUUCUGUGAUGGAGUUCCCAUAGUGGCUCAGUGGUUAACGAACCUGACCAGUAUCCAUGAGGACGCAGGUUCAGUCCUUGGCCUUGCUCAGUGGGUUAAGGAUCCGGCGUUGCCGUGAGCUGAGGUGUAGCCAUCAGCCUACGCCAGGGCCACAGCAACGCGGGAUCCGAGCCGCAUCUGCAACCUACACCACAGCUCACGGCAACGCUGGAUCGUUAACCCACUGAGCAAGGGCAGGGACCGAACCCACAACCUCAUGGUUCCUAGUCGGAUUCGUUAACCACUGCGCCACGACGGGAACUCCUCUCUGUUACUUUUUAUCACUAAUCCACUACGGGGGCCCCAUCCUCAUGACUUCUUAUAAACCUGAUUACCUACAUUAUUACUUAAGGGUUAUGGCUUCAAUUUAAGAAUUUUGGAAAGACCCCAAAAUUCAGUCAGUAAUAACAUUAUACAGGUAUAAGGUUUGUUUAAGUAGCCCUCUCUAUUUAGGUAUAUUUGAGGCAUACUUAGAUUGUUUUGAGUCUUUUGCUGCCGAAAGCCAUGGUGCGGAGUUGCCAUUGUGGCGCAGCAGAAAUGAAUCUGAUGGGUAACCAUGAGAUUGCAGGUUUGAUCCCUGGCCUUGCUCAGUGGGUUAAGGAUCCGGUGUUGCCAUGAGCUGUGGUGUAGUUUGCAGGUGCAGCUGGGAUCUGGUGUUGCUUUGGCUGGGGUUGAGGCCAGAAGCUGUAGACUCCUCGCCUGGGAAUAUCCAUAUCCUGUGGGUGCGGCCCUAAAAAGCCAAAAAAAAAAAAAAAAAGAAAAA
rnacentral:lncRNA from 1 species